AAAAUGACGGGAGAGGUAAAAUUCCAUGAUCGCCAUAAGAUGCACGAGAGCGAAAGCAUUUCACUCAAUUGCGUUCAUUAAUCAAGAACGAAAGUUAGGGGAUCGAAGACGAUUAGAUACCGUCGUAGUCCUAACUAUAAACGAUGUCAACCAAGGAUUGGAUUAGUUUAAGAGGGACAGAAGUCCGGCAACGCUGUUGUUGGGCUGACGGACCUCGCUUCCACCUUAUUCAGAACUUAAAGAGAAAUCUUGAGUUUAUGGACUUCAGGGGGAGUAUGGUCACAAGGCUGAAACUUAAAGGAAUUGACGGAAGGGCACACCAGGAGUGGAGCCUGCGGCUUAAUUUGACUCAACACGGGAAAACUUACCAAGACCGAACAGUAUUAGGAAUGACAGGUUAAGGGUCCUUUCAUGAUAUAUUGGGUAGUGGUGCAUGGCCGUUCUUAGUUGGUG
rnacentral:rRNA from 1 species